rnacentral:rRNA from 1 species
GAUGAACGCUGGCGGCGUGCCUAAUACAUGCGAGUCGAACGAACAGACGAGGAGCUUGCUCCUCUGACGUUAGCGGCGGACGGGUGAGUAACACGUGGAUAACCUACCUAUAAGACUGGGAUAACUUCGGGAAACCGGAGCUAAUACCGGAUAAUAUAUUGAACCGCAUGGUUCAAUAGUGAAAGACGGUUUUGCUGUCACUUAUAGAUGGAUCCGCGCCGCAUUAGCUAGUUGGUAAGGUAACGGCUUACCAAGGCAACGAUGCGUAGCCGACCUGAGAGGGUGAUCGGCCACACUGGAACUGAGACACGGUCCAGACUCCUACGGGAGGCAGCAGUAGGGAAUCUUCCGCAAUGGGCGAAAGCCUGACGGAGCAACGCCGCGUGAGUGAUGAAGGUCUUCGGAUCGUAAAACUCUGUUAUUAGGGAAGAACAAAUGUGUAAGUAACUAUGCACGUCUUGACGGUACCUAAUCAGAAAGCCACGGCUAACUACGUG